AUCAUUAAAAAUAAAAGCCUAAUUAUUAAAUCUGCUUCAGCUUCAUUAACAAUUGCGCAAAACUUAAAACAUGUUAAAAAAACAACUUCAUAUUAAAAUCCAAAUGAAUCCAGAUAAUGUUCAAUGUUAUACGUGCAAAUAAAACAAUAAAUCCAUUACAGCUAGACCAAAAAAAAAAAAAAAAAUGUCUGGAAUGGAAAGUUAAUCAGGAUUACAGCAGCACUUGUGACUUCUUGGUUUACCCGGAUUUUAGCUUUUUGGCAUCCUUUAAAUAAAAAAACCAUAAUCAGAUUUUCAUUCUCUAAACAGUCACAUUUAACAUUCCUGGGUUUUAUUCUCGUAUCUCUUUAUUCCAGCACUGAAUUCAAAGGCAAACCAUGAAGGUGUUGACAUCAGGUGGAAGCAAAACUGGUCAAUUUCUGUCUUAUAAAAAUCUGAAAAGUGGAAUUUACUGCAAGAAGAAGAAGCAUGAGUAGAACGUCUGUCACAUUAUAACAAUUUACACUGCAAUCGGUAAGAAAAACACCCACAAGUUAUGUUUCUCAUAAAACAUUACUGUACAUCAACCACAUUUAUAAAAAGGAACAGAGUUCACAAUAAAAUGCAAACCUUAACUUCUGACAAGAAACACCCCGACAGUUCAAUUCAAAACCUGAGAGUUCAUGUGGUACCACUAAAACAGAGAAGAACAAACAAAAAAAACAGUAUAUACAUUUGAUAAAACGCUAUAUUCUUGAGACGGAGGUACACAGAAAAUACAGUGGUGACAUGAAUUGCAUUCGACCCACAAAAACGCCUUCAGUCUUACCAAAUCAAGCAAACGCCAAAACUAAAACAUGAUGAUAAACCUUCAGAUCCUGUUUAAAACAGGAACAGGGAACAAGGAGUGCAUUGUAUAGGGAAAAUAUAUAUAUAGAUAUAUAUGGCAAAACUGUGAAAUACAGAUCUUUCAUAGCUUAUAGUGUGUUUUAUAUUAUUUCACAACGUUCCUGUGUCCUCAUCAUCAACAGGCACGAUCAGGAAAACGACUGAAGUAUGGAGGAAUCCCUGCUAACAUUUUAAUAAGAAAACGCACAACAUUUAUUAAAGUAAAAUUUCAUGCUUCCAUAUUUUGUCGUUGUCUGUAUAUCGAUUAAUGAAAGUCAUGCCGUUGAUUCAGUUACACAGAAUGCGAACCAUAGUAAUCUGCCUUACUGUGUGCUAUUAAUGACAUACCAAAACAUAAUCAAGCAAGAUAUGGAUAUGAAAACACAAAACCAAAUGAUUGGCUUAGAAUAUUCAACGCUCAUCAGAUUGGACUGUCUAUUAGCCACCAAAAUGAGCACGAUAGAGUUAGGCCAAAGAAAAAAUAAAGACAUCUUACAACUAAUAAACAUGGACAUGCUCUUUUUGAAGAUUUCAAACAGACAAAUAACAAAUGUGAACCCAGAGGAACAUUGUUACGCCAUAUUUAAAGAGAUAGUUCAGCUAAAAAUGAAGAUAUUUUAAAAAAUUGUUACACUUUAAAUAUCAAAACCCAAGUGAUGUACACUUUAAAACAAACAAAAAAAAAGUCCAUUAAUAGGUUCUCUAUUGAUGUGUUCAAUUUAUUUAUGGUUAUGAAUUGCAUUAUUAAAUUUAUCGAUCUCUGCUGUCGAGUUUUGAUGUUAAAAAUUUAAGUCUAGGAUUCAACAAAGGGAUUUUAGUAUAUUGAAAUAAAAUACUGUAUUAGACAUAAUAUAUAAACAUAUAUUUAGACAGAUAUAUGUAUAAUAGAAAAAAAUAGAGAUGGAAAUAAGUCUGUAAAAUAACAGAAUUCUGGCAGUUUAUCACCAGGUUUUUCUACUGUAGUUUAUAACAGCAAUCCAGACAAUAUGUAACUUCAAACUAGGGCUGCACAAUAUAUCAUUUCAUCAUUGAUAUCUCAUUGUGAUCAUACGCAAGUCACAUCGUGAGCAUCACAAUGUUGAGUCUGGAUUAUAAUUCAGCAUUUGCAUGUGUUUUAGAUGCCUGUGAUUGUAUAGCAUUCAGGCAUAAUAAAUUGUGUCAUUUGUGACUUUAAUAGCGAUUAAUUUUAUUGAAUUAUUUUAUCUGUACUUGAAUACUGUUAGAAAUACUUUGUCAAUUGUAUCUCUUUCUUGAUUGUAUUUAUAGAUUGCUAUGCAUGAAGAUCCUCACAACACAUGCAAAUACAGAAAUGCAAUGCAAAUGGCAGACCACAUCGAAAAUGUGUCAGGAAACCCCAAAAAGUUUAUAGAUUGUUUAUUAGAUUUUAUGGAGAGGCACUCACACUGCCAAAUCAUCCUAAUCGAUCCAACAAAUUCUUUCCAAAUAGAGAUACUCAAGUUAUCUGGUAAUAUUUUAUUCAUAUCGCGAUAUAUAUUACUGUUGUCACGAUACUAAAAUUCGUUACCAAUCGGUACAGCAAUUUAAAAAGCGUCCAUUUCCCGCUAACAUUUGAGCACGUUCUUAAACACCACUGAUUGCCGUUGUGUUCACGCACUUAACAGUAAUGACUAUGAUUGGCCACGAAGGUCAUCAGUUCACCAAACUCACCUAUGUUUACUGAGUUUAACCACAGAUACAGGAACACUGGGGUGUUUUAAAGUCACAUCAAUCAGCUGGCUUUGUCUAUGAGUGCUUAUGAAUCGCGGCUUUAAAACACUACAGUCACCCUGUAUCUGUGGUUUCACUCAGUAAACAGCGGUGAGUUUGGUGAACUGAUGACCUUCAUGGGCAAUCACAGCAAUUUUUGUUGAGCUGAAAUGUUCAUGUGAAAUGGAAGUUUUUGAAAUGUCAGUACCGACUGGUACCACAUUACAAUAUCGUGGCAACCCUAAUAUAUCACAAAAUAAAAAAUAUUGCAACGCUAGAUUUGUCCAAUAUUGUGCAGUCCUACUUUAAACUAUUAAAAACUUUUCAACAUCACAAGUUGUUGAAGGAACAAUCAAGCUACCAUAAUGCUAUUCAAAAGCAUAAACAAACUGAAGAAAAAACAAAAAUUCACAAAAACACGUAAAUCGGGGGGGUUAUCUUUUGUCAUGUGCAUAAAAUAUUAAAAAGUGUUGAUUAAACAAUGACAAUGAUCAAUUUCUGGUGAACUACCCCUUUAAAUCAUAGGUACAAAAUGUUUUACUGUCGUGUUAUUCUGCGUUAAUCAAAAAAUACAUGAAAAAAAUAAAUCACUGACAAAACACACCAGUUCCACUAAAGACUGGUGGAAACAUGUUUCAUCAGAUUACAUUUCUGUCCAUCAAAGGGUCUGAGAGGCCAUUUACAAGUCAGUUACAUUAUAAAAUGCCAAAAAUAGACACAUAUGAGAUAGCAUUUGGGUUUGUGUUUAGAAAACAAGAACAGAAAUAAAAGGGUGAAACCAGUUUAACAAACAUGAAUGGUCAGCAUGCUCCCUAAUGGCUCUACAAGUGUCAAGUUGAGGGUUUAAAUGCAGGCAUAUAACAAACAUGAACCUAAAAGACCAUUUCAGACAUUAUAUUUAAGACGAUAUUUCAUCCAAAACAGAUUUCUGAAGAAUGCUGGGAUCCAAUAACCAUCAAAGCCUAAUGAUUAAAACGUUUUAGCUAACUAAAUGAUGACAAUAUUAAUUUUCGGAUGAAGUAUCCCUAUAAAACAAAGGUCUCACAUUCGAUGGCAGGAGAGCUGCAGCUCAGCAGUUAUGCUUCAGCCCUGAUCAAACACUUAAUCCAACUAAUCAAGGUGUCCAUGACUCUUUUGAACACCUCGAUUAUUUGGAUCAGCUGUGUUUGAUUAGUGUUGGAGCAAAACUGGAGCUGUGGCCCUCCAGGCAUCAAGUUUAAGACCUAUGCUAUAGAAUAUAGGUACGCUGAACUAAAGUAUCAAGUUCAAUAUGAAUCAUUCAUAAAUACAGAAAGAAUGAAUGUGAUUUGUAAAUAAACCAAUAUUCGUCACACUUCUUGUACUUUCAAUCAUUUCUGUCCAUCACAGAUUCAUUUAAGUCUGAGGGCCAUUUAUAGGUCAGUUACAUUAGGAUAAAACUGUCUAUACAUGAAAAAAACUGAACUGAAAUAAAUAAAAGGAUGUAGAGAGUACAACAUACUGCUGUGUAUAGUGUAUUAUAAAUGAGUGUGAUAUUCUACAACCAUUUAAAACAAUGACUGCAUCUGCCUCGGAGGCUAGAACUGUAAGUCUAGUGAACAUACCUUCCAAAAAACGACUUGCUUAAUUUUUUUUUUUUUUUAGGUUUUUUUCUUUUAAAUAGUCGUCAAUUUUCACCAUUAAUAGAAGUUGAAAGCAAAAA